UGAGCAAUCUGCCCUUCUCUUCGGAAUAAGCGUUGGAAACGACGUCUAAUGCCGAAUACGACCUCCUUUCGCAUGAUCGGAGGUGGAAAGCUCCGGCGGAGAAGGAUGAGCUCGCGGCCUAUCAGCUAGUUGGUGUGGGUAAUGGCCCACCAAGGCGACGACGGGUAGCCGGCCUGAGAGGGUGACCCGGCCACACUGGGACUGAGACACGGCCCAGACCUCCGUACGGGAGGCAGCG
rnacentral:rRNA from 1 species